GAAAGCCGUAUUCGAUGAAAGUCGUAUGUACGCCUUGGAGGGAGAUCUUUCCUAUCUUUCGAGAUCCACCCUAC
rfam:Hordeum vulgare subsp. vulgare, WGS project CAJW01000000 data, contig: morex_contig_1518394